GCCUACGACCAUAUCACCCUGAAUGCGCCCGAUCUCGUCUGAUCUCGGAAGCUAAGCAUGGUCGAGCCUGGUUAGUACUUGGAUGGGAGACUGCCUGGGAAUACAAGGUGUUGUAGGAU
ensembl:rRNA 5S_rRNA 5S ribosomal RNA